UGGGCAGUUUGUCCAUCUCGGGGGCCCUGAGAGGCACCACCUCCUCCAGUCCCUGCAGACAGGCGGUUGUGAGAACCCGAGAGUUCACCAGCCCCACCGCAGACCCACAAAGAAGCCAUCCCAGCCCUGCCCUCAGGCAGUGGGUGGGGGGUUCAGCUCUGUAAGGAACGUGACUGGUCUGCGUUAACAAUUCUAAGAGAGGAGCCAGGAGGAGUUCUGAGGCUGAGAUCAUGUUUAACCACGCUUGAGUUUCUGUGGGUCCAGAGUCUGACGUGUCUUAGCUGGGUCCUCUGCUCCAAACCUCCGAAGGCAGCAGAGAAGGUGGCCACUGGGCUGCAUCCUCAUCUGGAGGCUCAAGUCGGGGGAAGUCCUUCUCCGAACUCACUGAGCUUCAUAAUCAGCCUCAGCCUUACUGCGAAUGCUUUGACAUCCACUCUCCAGGGGAAGAGAAGGCCCAGGGAGCAGUCUGAUCCAGGUGCUGCCAGGAUGUUGGCACAGCUGGGGACACCCAGGCAUUCUAUUUGUGUGAGGGCUCACCAGGCCUCCAGGGAUACAACCUGGUAAUGACUUCAGAACUGACAGGUAGGCCCUGAUAAACCAGGACUCACACUUUUGAAUUAAAAACAGAGAUUUUAAUCUGUGCAUCCCAGAGGCUGUCUGGGUCUUACUCUGUGGAAAAAGAGACUUGCGGUCUUUGGUCUCUGGAGCUGGGUGACAGUGGCAAUGAGGGGUAGCUGGGGCAACUGAGAUGGAAUAGGAGUCAGGCAACUUCCACUGUAACGGGCAGAUAGUAAACAUUUGGGGCUUUGCAGGGAAAAUAACCUGUAAAUCAAUGAGUGGGGCUGUGUUCAAA